rnacentral:rRNA from 1 species
CCUACGUGUGGCAGCAGUGGGGAAUCUUGGGCAAUGGGCGCAAGCCUGACCCAGCAACGCCGCGUGAAGGAAGAAGGCUUUCGGGUUGUAAACUUCUUUUCUCAGGGACGAAGAAAGUGACGGUACCUGAGGAAUAAGCCACGGCUAACUACGUGCCAGCAGCCGCGGGAAUACGUAGGUGGCAAGCGUUAUCCGGAUUUAUUGGGUGUAAAGGGCGUGUAGGCGGGAGCGCAAGUCAGAUGUGAAAACUCAGGGCUCAACCCUGAGCAUGCAUUUGAAACUGUGUUUCUUGAGUGCUGGAGAGGCAAUCGGAAUUCCGUGUGUAGCGGUGAAAUCCGUAGAUAUCUGGAGGAACAUCAGUGGCGAAGGCGACUAUCUGGCACAUAACUGACGCUGAGGAGCGAAAGCGUGGGUAGCAAACAGGAUUAGAUACCCCAGUAGUC